UACGAAGGGGGCUAGCGUUGUUCGGAAUUACUGGGCGUAAAGCGCACGUAGGCGGCGAGCAUAGUCAGGUGUGAAAGCCCCGGGCUCAACCCGGGAACUGCACUUGAUACUGGCUUGCUAGAGUUCGGGAGAGGAGAGUGGAAUUCCCAGUGUAGAGGUGAAAUUCGUAGAUAUUGGGAAGAACACCAGUGGCGAAGGCGGCUCUCUGGUCCGAUACUGACGCUGAGGUGCGAAAGCGUGGGGAGCAAAC
rnacentral:rRNA from 1 species